rnacentral:rRNA from 1 species
GGAAGUAAAAGUCGUAACAAGGUCUCCGUUGGUGAACCAGCGGAGGGAUCAUUACCGAGUUAUACAACUCAUCAACCCUGUGAACAUACCUAAAACGUUGCUUCGGCGGGAACAGACGGCCCUGUAACAACGGGCCGCCCCCGCCAGAGGACCCCUAACUCUGUUUUUAUAAUGUUUUUCUGAGUAAACGAGCAAAUAAAUUAAAACUUUCAACAACGGAUCUCUUGGCUCUGGCAUCGAUGAAGAACGCAGCGAAAUGCGAUAAGUAAUGUGAAUUGCAGAAUUCAGUGAAUCAUCGAAUCUUUGAACGCACAUUGCGCCCGCCAGUAUUCUGGCGGGCAUGCCUGUUCGAGCGUCAUUACAACCCUCAGGCCCCCGGGCCUGGCGUUGGGGAUCGGCGGAAGCCCCCUGUGGGCACACGCCGUCCCUCAAAUACAGUGGCGGUCCCGCCGCAGCUUCCAUUGCGUAGUAGCUAACACCUCGCAACUGGAGAGCGGCGCGGCCAUGCCGUAAAACACCCAACUUCUGAAUGUUGACCUCGAAUCAGGUAGGAAUACCCGCUGAACUUAAGCAUAUCAAUAAGCGGAGG